rnacentral:lncRNA from 1 species
GAUAAUCAAGACGGGGACCUUGAGAUCCCUGAAAUGUUAAUUUCUGCGAGGACAGAACAAAGAGGACGAAUGUAAACACCAAAUAGAAUGCGAAAUGAUAAGCAAGAAGCUAUCUUGGCCACACAAUUACUGCACAUGGCGAUGGGCCAAAGAUUUUGCUUUUUUGAGCAACGCCAUUCACAGAAUUGAAUAAAAAUCCAGCUUCAAGUACACAGCAUUCAUGGCUUAACAUUGGCCACUGCUCCUGUAGUGGCUGCCUGUUAUUUUCAGUAUUUAAUUGUCUAUGCAUUUGUAUUUCUCUAUAUAAAGCUUCUUUUGGAGCACUGAAAGCUCCAUAACGUGUGUGUUGCAUGAAAGAAAUGGCCUUCAAGGGUUCUAAGGCAGCUAUUUUUUUGUUCUGCUCAAUGUCGUUUUUUUCACUUGUGUCUCAUCUCAUAACGUACCGGCCUGUCCUCCAAAAGCUCCCCCAGCCCCGAAGAAGCCAGCCUGCCCUAAAGAUACCCUCAAAUUUGGUGUUUGUGGCAACUGGUUAGGGCUGGUUCACGAGGUUCUUGGGACCCCUCCAAGCGAGGAAUGCUGUACCCUUAUCAAGGGUCUUGCUGAUCUUGAAGCAGCAUUGUGUUUAUGCACAGCUAUUAAGGCCAAUGUCCUGGGAGUUGUCAAGCUCAAAGUUCCCGUUGCAGUUAGCUUGCUCCUAAGUGCUUGUGGAAAGAAAGUUCCUGAAGGCUUUAAAUGCGCUUAGAACUCCUUUGUUCCUGUUCAUUGAUGUUUGUUUCACUUUUGAAACUUGUUUGCUCUUGUAAAACUCGCUUUCCUGUAAGAAGCGAAGCUGAAUGCCUCUCAAUAAAAUGUGUUUUGAGUCCCUUCCUUUUGCUUUGCAUCUGUUCUAAAGAGUUGAGACAAAUAAUGGCAAAAUGCGCAAACAUGUCGAAGCUAGAUUACAGCUUAAGAGCUGCAAGGCAUUUUGGUUAAUUCAUUCACUUUAAACGUGUAAAGGUGCGCAGGAGAAUCAGUAGAAUCCUAUCAUCUACCCUGUUUUAUAAUAAUAUUUAUUUAUUUUAAAAAAAUAAAGAAGCUAAUAAGAUGCUGUAAAACCUUUCAGCAAAGCGUCGCAAAAGAAACAGAUGGCCCCCAGCACCAAGGGGUUUAAAUCUUGUAGAACAUGUCCAUAGGAGAGGCAUCAAAGCCCGUUGAAUCACCAAAGGAGCACUCCUUUUCCAGUGCAGCAGUAAGGUUUGAAGCUUUGACUCAAUUGUGCAAACGGAUUUUUGUAGCAGGGCUUUCUCUAAUCGAAAACAUGUUUUUGAAAUGAUAAUUGUGUAUGAUAAUGUACAAUUUGACAUGUUUUUAAGUUUGGGGCUUAAAGAAUGUGUUGAUACUUUAGAAGCAAAAUAAAAUCUAUACAGAAUUAGAGUUUAUUUAUAGUAUUAGAAUUUGUUUACGGUUGCUAUUCUAAUGACCAUCUUUUAUUCUAUGUAAUAGAAUAUCAGAAUAUCAGUACUUGAGCUAUAUUGGACGCUAGUUAUUGAAUGAUAAACUUUCAGCCUAUGCAAUCUUUAGUUUUAGUAAUAGAGUAAGGGUACAUGUUGCUUUAUCAAAUGAAAACCGAUAGACCGUUUCCACCAAGGCACUAACCCCAAGCACAAAAGUAAGACAAUCACUCAUAAAGAUGGGAAAGGGGGCAAAAAACUAUAGGCUAAUACAUGGAAACCUAAGCUCCCCGAUUUUGCAAAUAAUUCAGAUAGAUCUUCACAUGAAUAAGACUAGAGUUACUGAAGAUGGGAUCAUAAUAUAGGUGCCGAACCCUUGUCAUGGUGAUGGAUCGAUCAAUCAUUCUGAAACAUCAUCUCUGUCUUUCUUGUUGCUGGGUUUGCGAUGGUUUUCUUCCAUCUGUUUGGCCAUGGAAAGGCCAAAUUCAACAAGUUUUUUUAUGUUAGGCACGUUGUAGUUCUGGGCUAUGUAGAUCCCAGACAGUGUCCCGGACAUGAACGAGAAGGAGCUCCUUAUUAAACCCAUUUGGCUCCCAAGAACUAUUUAGUAUGCAGCUAGCUGUGUAGAGUAUGAGAAAGAGACUUGGCUUGAUCUGAGAGAUGUGAAUCAGGAAUUUGACGGUCUUGAGAAAUCAAAGAUGGGUGUGAAGGGGAUUCGAAAGGCCGAGAUGUCGUAGUUCCCAAGACUCGAAAUGAGCCCUCCUUUUGUGUACAUGGUGACUCCUCCUCCAAGGGUCAACCCUUCUCGGCUAAGCAACAAUUUUUAUCAAAGGAUAGCGACAAUUUAAAGGAUAGAAGACAACAUAGCGUUACUUUUACUUUGUUUCAAAAAAAAUUCUCAAUUUAUCUUGUUUAAAAUAGAUUAUGUAAAACUAUUUAUCCUUAGUGUUUGCUGAACUAGAAAUGAAAAAAUAUUUUUUUAUUAAUAUUUUUGUAUCAUUUUAAUAUGUUAAUAUUAUACAUAAAUUUUUAAAAAAUAUUUUAAUAUAUUUUUAAAUAAAAAUUAUUUUUUAUUUUUACUAUAUUACCAAACAGAUUCUUCAAGGAUCAUCUUAAGGAUACAUACCGGAAAAUGUUUGCUUUAAUUUUAAUUUCUUUUAAUUAGUACUUUGAUUUUAAUUUCUUUUCAUUAUUACGAGGAAAAGAGAAAAAUGGUAUUGAAUAUCUACUUUCAAGUUCUUGAGGAUAUGGUAAAAUUAGAUGUUAGUCCCUAACUUUCUAAAAUUCUAAAAUGAAUCCCUCGAAGUCACAUAAGAUUUAAGACUUCAAAUCUCAUUCAUUGCAAAACUAUUUGAGGAUAAAAUGUGAUUAGAGAAAUUAUUGUCGUUGAGCAAAUACGGCCCAAGAAAUCAAUAAUAACAGCAGACAAAGAACCAAUCUGUUAAUUAGGCCACUUAUUUCCUGAAUUUUAAUUUAUUUGAGAAUUGAUUCAUCAACUAAAAUUGACCUCCUGCAAUAUCGCUCAUUUAAAAUUGGAUCCUUUUGUUAAUUUUUGUAGGGUUUUUUUCCCUAUUAAUUAACGUUUAAAAAUCAACUCUGUAAAUAAUUUGAGUAUGUUGUACCCUUUACUUCUAGUUUUUGGUUAUUUUAAACCUCCCAUCUAUUUUUGUAUGUGAAAGUCAUAUGAUUUAUGUACAAAUUGAUCCAAACCCCUUGAUUUAUUGACUUGUUUCUUAACCUUUAGAUGAAUUUGACUUUUAAAUAAAAAAAAUAAAAAAUAUAUAUUUAAAAAUGAUACAAAAAUAUCCAUAAAUAGGAAAAAAUAUCCAUGAAAAAUAAAAAUAAAAAAGAAAAAAGAAAAUCUCAUAAAAUUCGGAAAACAAAAAAAAUCUCAAUUUUCAUCUUUGGACUUUUUUUCUGUAAUUAGAUUUAUUGCUAAAUUUUUUUAUUUUACCUCACAAUCAAUUUAACAGAAAAAUAAAAUAAAAUGGAGGGGAGGUUUAAAGUAAAAAAAAAAAGAAAAGAAUAAAAAUAGAAGUAAAGGGUUCAAUACGAUCAAAUUGUUUGUGGAGAGUUCAAUUUGAUGAAUUUCAAUAAUAGGGGGACAAUUUGUGAAACCUACAAAAUCUAACUUGAAGUAUUCAAUUUCAAACGAAUCAAAGUUGCUAGAGGUCAAUAUCAACUUCUUAAAUGAUGAACUAGUUUUCAAUUAACUUAAAUCUCAAAAGAGAUUUGAUCCACUUAAUUAAAAAAAACAAGAAGUCAAAAUUGGAGUAAACAGAAACAAAUUAAACUCCAUCGCUGUCUUUCUUGCAGAUGCACAUAAUUUUAUUAGCAAGUAUAUAUGACAUUACAUAGAGCAGGAGUCGCCUAUUACUAAACUGUGAUGAGUUAAUCAUUCAGAAACGUCAUCGCUCUCUUUCUGGUUUCUGGGUUUUGCGAUGGGUUCUUUCAAUUUGUCUAGCCAAAGAAAGGCCUGUCUCGGCAAGUUUUUUGACGUCUGGCACGUUUGUAGUUCUGCGAUAUGUAGAUCCCAGCCAGUGUCCCAAAUGAAUGAGAAGCUUCUCCUUAUCAGACCCAUGGCUGCCUCUUUUCUUCAAGGAACGAUGCUUCACUUGACUGAGCUAGCUACAGAAAAAGAAAAUUAAGCACUACUUAAGCAGGAACUAAUUCGGUAGCUUGGAGAAGGCAAGGUUGUUUAGCAGAGGAUUUAUAUAACUUGUGGGCGGUCCUGACGUAUUUCUCAAGACAUGAAGAAAACCAGAGUGACUCCUCCAGGGGUUUGAAUAUUUUUUUUUUUCAGUCCCGAGAUCUUGGUGAAAUUAUAUGUUUAGUCCUCGACUUUUUAAAAGUUACUAUUGAAUAUUAAAAAAAACUUAAUAAUUGUUCAAAAAAAAUAAAGAAUAAAAGAGAAAUCCAUAUAUUUUCUUUUAUAUUUUUUCCAAUGUUUAGAAUACAAGACAAAGAGUCUAUUUAUAAGGAAAAAAAAAUGAUAGCAGUAAUGGACACUAGAAGACUAAGUGUCAUGGAAAAUCAAGAAACUAAACUGUCAUGAAGUCUAAGAGAUUUUAAUGAGCUUUCAAUAUAUAUAUAUAUAUAUAUAUAUAUAUAUAGAUUUUAUAACAUUUUCUCUUGAACGACUAUGUACUAAAAAUGUGUCUUAUUAAAACUUUGUAAAGAAAAACUCAAUGGGAAGAAAAACCUAAGCGAAGAAAAAGAAGUACAACAUUCUUGUGUGAUUUCUGAAUACUUCAGAAUUCAAUAGAAGGUUUUAUAGAUACUUCAAGUUCACAUUAAUUUGUCCCUUAUCAAAAUGAGAUAGCUUCCGGUUAUUCCAAGUAAUUUCUUGUCAUGCUUCAGGUAGUAACUUUUUUUUCCCUGAUGAUGGGAAAAUAUUCAUUAAAAUGGUAAUGUUCAAAAUGUGUCUUAAAAACAUCACCGGUUAAAGGUUCAAGAAAUCUAAUAAUAGAUGGAGAAUCAAAACCAACAUAAAUUCAUAUUCUAUAUUGUGGAGCCAUUUUAGUCGUUUGUAGGGGCACUAUUGGCGCAUAUACAACACAACCAAAAGCUUAUAAAUGAAAUAUAUUUGAUGGUAUACAAAAAACAAGUUACAAAUGAAAAUAUCUAUGGUAAGCACUUGGUCUAAUUCUAACCAAUAAUGCAACAUGUAAUAUUGCAUGUCUACAAACAGAUGUAGGCAAUUUUUAUUUCAAAUGUAAUGGCCUAGCAAUUAAUUGAAGGCACUUAUAAAUGAUUCUGUUAGACCAUUUUGAUUAUAUACAUGAGCAAUAGGAUAUUUAACAUCAAAUCCAAUAGAAGUGCAAAAAUUAUCAAAUGCUUGAGUAUGCAAAGAUUAUCGAACUCACCAGCAUUGUCCAAUCAAAUUUUCUUGAUUGGAUAAUCAGGAGAUGUGUGUCCGUUGUAUGAUAAUAUGUGUUAUUAAUCUAGCAAAUACAACAUUUUGACUAGAAAGUUAACAAACAUGUGACCAUUUACUUCAUGCAUCAAUCAAUACCAUAAAAUAUCUAAAAGGUCUACAUGGUAGAUAAAUAGAUCCACAAAUAUCUCCUUGAUUUUUUUCAAGAAAAGAUGGUGAUUCUAUAACAACCUUAGAUGGAGAUGGUUUGGUAAUUAAUUUACCUUGAGAACAUGAGCGCAUGAUUUUCAUUUGGUAAAAGAAUCUUCAGAUUCUUUAAAUGAUGCCCAUGUGAAUUUUCAAUAAUUCAUUGUAUUAUUAUUGAUUCUAAAUGUUCAAGUCGAUCAUGUCAAAGCAUAAAUAUUUUUGGGUUAGAACACUUGUGGUGUGUCACAACAUUUAUUUCAAUAUAUUUCAUGAAUGUGUAAUAAAUUCUAGAAGAGAAAUUAGAUAAUUUUUCAGGUAUAAUCUCUAGCCUAAAAUACAUGAAAAAAUAUAAAGAUAUUCUUUUUUGUCUUCAUCUAUUGUUUCAAUAUGAUAACCAUUAAUACAUAUAUCUUUAAAAUUGAGUAAAUACUUUUAGACUUUGGUGAAUAUAAUGCAUCUUUGCUACCCAAAUUUGUGUUAUUUGGUAACAAAAUAUUAGCUUUUCUAGGGCCUUUAAUCAUGUCUAUUGGACCUAAUAUUACAGUGACAUUAGUUUUAGUUUUAGUUAAUGUCAAAUAUUCAAAGUAUUUUUUUCUUGAAAAUUAUGUGUACUAUUUGCAAGACAUAAAUCUUCAUCAUGAAAAGGCAUGCCUCUUUUUAAAAUAUAAUUAAAGUUUAUUAUUUAACUAAAAAUUGAUAUUAUUUAUUGAAAAUAUAAUAAGAUAAAUAUCUUAAUACAAAAAAAAUAUUAAUCAUCCCCAAGGAUUCCACCACUAAAUAUGUCAUCUAUUUUAUCCAGUGUUUUUAAACCCGGUCCGGUGACCGACCCGACCCAAGGUCCGAGUCACGGGUUUUGACCUGGUCACUCGAGUCAACCUCAUUUUUUUAUAAAUCAAAAUGACAUUGUUUUGGUAAAAAAUAAAAAUAAAAAUAAUCAACGGAUUACAACAAGGUUUUUGAUCGGGUCUUACCAGGUCAACCCGCCGGAUCGGCCAGGCUUUUAACUACCCCUAUUUUUUUAUAAAAUCAGCUUGAUUCUAGCUUCGGAUCAGCCAGGUCCCGAACCGACCUGCCAGUUUUAAAACUAUGAUUUUAUCAGGGUUUUCAAAGAAAUCAGAUAUUUAUAUUCCAAUUCCCCUGGUCUUGGUAAAAAUUAUAUAUUAGUCCUUGAGGCUGGUUUUAAUAACUCCACUCAUCAUAAUAUUUUUAUCCUUUUUCAUUUUGUUUCUUUUUAUAAAAUCUUUUAUCAGUUACAUCCUCAAUCCAACUAUUAUAUUUCAAGAUGAUGGUGCAGGAAGAUUUUCAUACGAUGUGAUUCGUAAUCUACAGCCAAGAUCUGAAAGUAGAACGACAAUUAAAAAAAAUAAAGUAACUAUUUAAUUAAAAACCAUAGUAAAUCAAAUUAACACAGUACAUCAUCAAACCAUUUAUAAGCAACACUGACCUCCAAACAACAACACAGGAUUCUUACAAGUAAGUAACACAACAUAAAUCUUCAUUAGCGCUCUAAUUAUUCUUUCAAUUACUAGCAAGUGGCAUGUCCGAGGUUGUUGCCUGUUCAGUUCCUGGGCUUGCAGCCCUGCGUGCUUGACGAGGACAAGUCCGUUUCCGGUGAGCUUCAGGAUUUUCCCAACGUUGUGCUCCUCUCAUAACGAAGGCUCCAAACACAGUUCCCAUAAAAAAGGCAAAAACAGGCCUCAUCUCCCUUGUUGUUUGUUUAUAAACUCUACUCUAGAUAUUGUGUAAAAGCAAGAGCAAGACUAGAUAUGGUGUUGGGAACUAGGCGAUUGAGCUGGUGGGAUUUAUAAAAGUUUUGUCUUUAGAAGACAUCUUGAUGCCCAAGUUGUCUUUGCAAAUGAUUUCACUAAGCUAGCCUCUACUCCAAGGGUCAACCCCGCUGUCUUGCCGUGUUAAAUAUUUUAUUCUAGAUGGCGGCAUCCAUACUUGGUGGAUAAGGUGCAAAUUUGACUGGGUCAGUUAGCAUUUCUGGUCUAAACCAGCCCCUAACAAUCAAUGAAUUUGCUCUCAUUAAUGGGACUUCCUCGAAAAUAAAAUAAAGAACGAAUCAAUAAAGGAAAAGAAAAUAAACUUUUUUUUAUUUUGUCCUUAAAUCGUAUCUUUGAUAUGUGUAAAUGAUCAUGCUUUAGGUGAUGAUAAACUUAUUAUGUUCUUAAACUAUCAUCCAUUCAUGGGGGGUUUUAUUUAUUUUUCUCAGAUUCUUUUUUGAAGAACUUCAUGAAUUGGAUUAAAAAUGUAGAUAUAAUAUGCUAGUGAGAGAGUGUAUGAGAGAUAGGGACAGUGAUGCUUGAUACUUUCUAUUAAAAAAUAUGUUUUUGUCUUAAUUGUAUUCUUGUAUUGUCAAAUAACUGGUUGAUAGUGUUGAUGCAAAAAAAAUUAUCGUUAUUGUUUAAUUGAAAAAAGAUGUAUUUCUUUAAUUAUUUUUCAAUUUCAGUUUUUUUUUUUUCGUUCUUACCUUUUGAUUUAUAUUGAGAUAUCCCAUAAACUUUGGAGAUGAAAUUAAGAUUUACACAUAGCGGAACAGAAAUAAAGAUAGUAGGUCUAAUCGAAACAAAUCAAAAGUUUUAAAUGAAACUGAAAAAAUACAUGAACCUGGAGAUUAAAUUUGUGAAACCUACAAAAUCUAACUUGAAGUAUUCAAUUUCAAACGAAUCAAAGUUGCUAGAGGUCAAUAUCAACUUCUUAAAUGAUGAACUAGUUUUCAAUUAACUUAAAUCUCAAAAGAGAUUUGAUCCACUUAAUUAAAAAAAACAAGAAGUCAAAAUUGGAGUAAACAGAAACAAAUUAAACUCCAUCGCUGUCUUUCUUGCAGAUGCACAUAAUUUUAUUAGCAAGUAUAUAUGACAUUACAUAGAGCAGGAGUCGUCCUAUUACUAACUGUGAUGAGUUAAUCAUUCAGAAACGUCAUCGCUCUCUUUCUGGUUUCUGGGUUUGCGAUGGGUUCUUUCAAUUUGUCUAGCCAAAGAAAGGCCUGUCUCGGCAAGUUUUUUGACGUCUGGCACGUUGUAGUUCUGCGAUAUGUAGAUCCCAGCCAGUGUCCCCAACAUGAAUGAGAAGCUUCUCCUUAUCAGACCCAUGGCUGCCUCUUUUCUUCAAGGAACGAUGCUUCACUUGACUGAGCUAGCUACAGAAAAAGAAAAUUAAGCACUACUUAAGCAGGAACUAAUUCGGUAGCUUGGAGAAGGCAAGGUUGUUUAGCAGAGGAUUUAUAUAACUUGUGGGCGGUCCUGACGUAUUUCUCAAGACAUGAAGAAAACCAGAGUGACUCCUCCAGGGGUUUGAAUAUUUAUUUUUCAGUCCCGAGAUCUUGGUGAAAUUAUAUGUUAGUCCUCGACUUUUUAAAAGUUACUAUUGAAUAUUAAAAAAAACUUAAUAAUUGUUAAAAAAAAAUAAAGAAUAAAAGAGAAAUCCAUAUAUUUUCUUUUAUAUUUUUUCCAAUGUUUAGACAAAGAGUCUAUUUAUAUAUAUAAAAAAUGAUAGCAUUAAUGGAAACUAGAAAACUCAAGUGUCAUUAAAAAUCAAGAGACUAAAUUCAAGAGUCAUGAAGUCUAACAAAUUUUAAUGAGCUUUCAAUAUAUAUAAUUAUAGAUUUUAUAACACUUUCUCUUGAAUACUUUAUACUAAAAAUAUUACUCAUUAAAACCUUGUAAAGAAAAACCUAAUGGAAAGAAAAACCUAAGCAAAGAAAAAAGAAUACAACAUUCUUGUGUGAUUUUUGAAUACUUCAGAAUUCAAUAGAAGGUUUUAUAUAGAUACUUCAAGUUUAUAUUAAUUUAUUCCUUAUCAAAAUGAGAUAACUUAGGGUUAUUUCGAGUAAUUUCUUGUCAUGUUUCAUGCAGUAACUUUUCUUUCCCUGAUGAUGAGAAAAUGUUCUCAUCAAAAUGGUAAUAUUCAAAACGUGCUUUAAAAACACCAGGUCAAUCCUAUUUUUUAUAAAUCAAAACGAUGUUGUUUUGAUAAAUAAUAAAAAAAUAAUCAAUGGGUUGCAACCAGGUUUUUUAUCGGGUCUUUCGACUCACUCCAGGUCAACUCGUCGGGUCGGCCGGGUUUUUAACUACCCCUAUUUUUUUCAUAAACUCAGCCCGGUUCCAAUCCCGGAUCAGUUGGGUCCUGGGCCGACCUGUCGGGCUGAGUUUUAAAACUAUGGUUUUAUCAUGUUCUCGACAAAAUCAGAUAUUUAUUUUCCAAUUCCCAGGUCUUGGUAAAAAAUAUAUAUUAGUCCUUGAGGUUGGGUUUAAUAACUCCACUCGUCAUAAUAUUUUUAUACUUUCCAUUUUGUUUCUUUUUAUAAAAUAUUUUAUCAGUUACAUCCUCAAUCCAACUAUUAUAUUUCAAGAUGAUGGUGCAGGAAGAUUUUCAUAUGAUGUGAUUCGUAAUCUACAUGCCAAGAUCUGAAAGUAGAACGACAAUUAAAGCAAAUAAAGUAACUAUUUAAUUAAAAACCAUAGUAAAUCAAAUUAACACAGUACAUCAUCAAACCAUUUAUAAGCAACACUGACCUCCAAACAACAACACAGGAUUCUUAAAAGUAAGUAACACAACAUAAAUCUUCAUUAGCGUUCUAAUUAUUCUUUCAAUUACUAGCAAGUGGCAUGUCCGAGGUCGUUGCCUGUUCAGUUCCUGGGCUUGCAGCCCUGCGUGCUUGACGAGGACAAGUCCGUUUCCGGUGAGCUUCAGGAUUUUCCCAACGUUGUGCUCCUCUCAUAACGAAGGCUCCAAACACAGUUCCCAUAAAAAAGGCAAAAACAGGCCUCAUCUCCCUUGUUGUUUGUUUAUAAACUCUACUCUAGAUAUUGUGUAAAAGCAAGAGCAAGACUAGAUAUGGUGUUGGGAACUAGGCGAUUGAGCUAGUGGGAUUUAUAAAAGUUUUGUCUUUUAGAAGACAUCUUGAUGCCCAAGUUGUCUUUGCAAAUGAUUUCACUAAAUAAAGCUAGCCUCUACUACAUGGGUCAACCCCGCUGUCUUGCCGUGUUAAAUAUUUUAUUCUAGAUGACGGCAUCCAUACUUGGUGGAUAAGGUGCAAAUUUGACUGGGUCAGGCAGCAUUUCUGGUCUAAACCAGCCCCUAACAAUCAAUGAAUUUGCUCUCAUUAAUGGGACUUCCUCGAAAAUAAAAUAAAGAAUGAAUCAAUAAAGGAAAAGAAAAUAUUUUUUUUUUAUUUUGUCCUUAAAUCGUAUCUUUGAUAUGUGUAAAUGAUCAUGCUUUAGGUGAUGACAAACUUAUUAUGUUCUUAAACUAUCAUCCAUUCAUAUGGGGUUUUAUUUAUUUUUCUCAGAUUCUUUUGUGAAGAACUUGAUGAAUUGGAUUAAAAAUGUAGAUAUAAUAUGCUAGUGAGAGAGUGUAUGAGAGAUAGGGACAGUGAUGCUUGAUACUUUCUAUUAAAAAAUAUGUUUUUGUCUUAAUUGUAUUCUUGUAUUGCCAAAUAACUGGUAGAUAGUGUUGAUGCAAAAAAAAUUAUCGUUAUUGUUCAAUUGAAAAAAGAUGUAUUUCUUUAAUUAUUUUUCAAUUUCAGUUUUUUUGUUUUCGUUCUUACCUUUUGAUUUAUAUUGAGAUAUCCCAUAAACUUUGGAGAUGAAAUUAAGAUUUACACAUAGCGGAACAAAAAUAAAGAUUGUAGGUCUAAUCGAAACAAAUCAAAAGUUUUAGAUGAAACUGAAAAAAUACAUGAACCUGGGAGAUUAAAAUCUACCCUAAAUUGGCUGACGACCAUGAAGGUGCGACAAAUCAGAAGAUAGGGACCCUGUUUUCUUUAGCUGUUCUGAGGUGAAAGUAGUUUGGUGCCAGCUAUAUCUUUUCUGUUUGGCAAGAGAGAGAUAAGAAAGCGCGUGAGAAUGUUGCUUCGGAUUCCUCUACUUUGCCAAGGCAAAUUAUCCAAUCUGUUCAGUACAGAUUACGUAAGACAACGCUGCUGAGACAUGCUAUGAACAGUAAUCCCAGAUAUGAUUUGUUAUAUAUAAUCCCUGGGAUUUUCCUGAUAAUUUUCUCGAUCAGAGUCUGUAAAAUGGACUAUGCUUCAAUUUCCCAGGAUAGUAUCCUGUUUUUAAGCUCUUGUAGGAGGGCGAGCACCAACCUAGUGUUUUUUUUAGUAAUAAAAUUCUCGAUAAUCAAGACUGGGACCUUGAGAUACUUGGAAUGUUAAUUUCUGCUAGGACAGAACAAAGAGGACGAAUGUAAACACCAAAUAGAAUGCGAAAUGAUAAGCAAGAAGUUAUCUCGGCCACGCAAUUACUGCACAUGGCGAUGGGCCAAAGAUUUUUCUUUUUUGAGUAACGCCAUUCACAUAAUUGAAUAAAAAUCCAGCUUCAAGUACACAGCAUUCAUGGCUUAACAUUGGCCACUGCUCCUGUAGUGGCUGCCUGUUAUUUUCAGUAUUUAAAUUGUCUAUGCAUUUGUAUUUCUCUAUAUAAAGCUUCUUUAGGAGCACUGAAAGCUCCAUAACGUGUUUGUUGCAUGAAAGAAAUGGCCUUCAAGGGUUCUAAGGCAGCAGCUAUUUUUGUUCUGCUCAAUGUCAUUUUUUUCACUUGUGUCUCAUCUCAUAACGUACCGGCCUGUCCUCCAAAAGCUCCCCCAGCCCCGAAGAAGCCAGCCAAAUGCCCUAA